rnacentral:lncRNA from 1 species
CUCUGUUCACGGAAAGGGCCUGGGAGCUGCAACACCUCAACAGCAACAAGCACACCUGCUACCUAGAACUUGGUUUCUAAAAACCAUCCUCCUCUAAAAGGAAACAGAGCUCUUUGAAGAAAUGAAGGUAAGCAUGAGCAAAUCACUUUUUAGAGGUAACUUUGCUGGACUUGUGAAGAAUGGUGUGCAAGGUCCAGAGCGACUGCAGGAGAGGGAAGGUGGGAUUCCCACAGAGCAGGAGCACAGAUGAGCCAAGCAAGGCCCUGCUUAGAAGGCAGCAAUCAACAGAGAUGCACAGACCUGUGAGGGUGCCGGGACAGCCAUGCAACAAUGCAGCCCUUUUGCUUCCUAAGGUCACCAGUUCCCUCGCUCCACCUCUGAGAGGUGGUUUGGAGAAACACAGCCCUUCUCAAGAGGGUUGCAAGCUACUUAAGUACUGAAAAUUUCCACAAGGCUGAGUCAAAUCUGCAUUUCAUCAUCUAUAAGAAAGGUACCUAUCGAGAACACCCUGCUGGCCAGUGUGUAAAUAUCUAAAGGAGGACUCAGAAAACACCGGGGAAGUCCAGCCUGCACGUGGUGGCUGGGCUUCAGUGAAGCAUGGAGCACAACAGGAGUUAGCAGACCACAAAGAGCAUGUCUGGACCUAGAACCACAGCAUGUAACCUCGGAAGCAGUGAGACACCAGCCAGCAUGGACAAGCAGCAGGCACUUGCU